GUCGAGAAUCUUCCGCAAUGCGCGAAAGCGUGACGGAGCGACACCGCGUGAUGGAUGAAGUCCUUCGGGGCGUAAACAUCUUUUAUAAAGGAGGAAAUUUUUGACGUUACUUUAUGAAUAAGGGGCUCCCAAUCUCGUGCCAGCAGGAGCGGUAAUACGAGAGCCUCAAGCGUUAUCCGGCAUCAUUGGGCGUAAAGGGUGCGUAGGUGGUUUGAUUAGUCUCCCGUUAAAACUUCGAGCUUAACUCGAAAAGAGCGGGGGCAACGGUCAAACUAGAGUAUGUGAGAGGUGGGUGGAACUCAUGGUGUAGGGGUGAAAUCCGUUGAUAUCAUGGGGAACACCAAAAGCGAAGGCAGCACACUGGCACAUCACUGACACUGAGGCACGAAACCUAAGGUAGCGAAUGGGAUUAGAAACCCGGGUAGUCC
rnacentral:rRNA from 1 species